AGUUUUACGCCGGAUCGACAAACCGAAACCACCACGACGCUCCUGGCGAAAUUCUCUACAAGUUUGCCGGAACGGAUCGUCAGGAAAACGAAAUUGGAUUUCAUCCCAAAUCCAAGUUCCAGGGUGUUGAUUGGGAACGUGGGAAAUCAUCCCUAAGUUGAGGGUGUUGAGUUGAGAACCUUGUGGGUACGGGGGAGAUUUUCUUAGGGGCUUUUCAGG